rnacentral:rRNA from 1 species
ACGGGUGAGUAACACGUGGGAACGUACCCUUUACUACGGAACAACUCCGGGAAACUGGAGCUAAUACCGUAUGUGCCCUUCGGGGGAAAGAUUUAUCGGUAAAGGAUCGGCCCGCGUUGGAUUAGCUAGUUGGUGGGGUAAAGGCCUACCAAGGCGACGAUCCAUAGCUGGUCUGAGAGGAUGAUCAGCCACAUUGGGACUGAGACACGGCCCAAACUCCUACGGGAGGCAGCAGUGGGGAAUAUUGGACAAUGGGCGCAAGCCUGAUCCAGCCAUGCCGCGUGUGUGAUGAAGGCCUUAGGGUUGUAAAGCACUUUCACCGGAGAAGAUAAUGACGGUAUCCGGAGAAGAAGCCCCGGCUAACUUCGUGCCAGCAGCCGCGGUAAUACGAAGGGGGCUAGCGUUGUUCGGAAUUACUGGGCGUAAAGCGCACGUAGGCGGAUAUUUAAGUCAGGGGUGAAAUCCCAGAGCUCAACUCUGGAACUGCCUUUGAUACUGGGUAUCUUGAGUAUGGAAGAGGUAAGUGGAAUUGCGAGUGUAGAGGUGAAAUUCGUAGA